rnacentral:rRNA from 1 species
AUGGCUUCGACUUUCCUCUUUUGUUUGUUCACUUCCACAUGCAAGUUGCCACAGCUCAAAGACUGGCUGAGAUGCAUGUUUGACCCCUCCAUUAAAUGUGAUUACAUCAACAAUAACCUUGCUGAGUCUUUUAAUGGUUGGAUUAAAGAUUACAAAGAUUUGCCACCUGAUGAGCUAGCUGACACUCUUAGAGAGCUAGUCAUGAAACUUCAUGAGAAAAGGAGAAAGAUUGGAAUGAAAUUGAAAGGAAAAAUUAUUCCAGCCAUCAUCCAACAGAUUCAUAAUAGGACAAGGGGACUUAAACAUUUGAAAGUUGGGAAAUCUGGAGUUGCAAGUUGUGAGGUGAGGGACACAAGUAAAUACAACUUGCGACAUGUUGUGAAAACUGCUGAUGAGGCAACACAUGCAGCACCACAACUUGAAGUUGUUGUGACUCCCAAUAGGCACAUGAUCACCAUGCCACCGAAUCUUCAAGGCAGUCCCAAUCCUGUGACUAGAAGGUAA